CCUACGGGUGGCAGCAGUGGGGAAUAUUGGACAAUGGGGGCAACCCUGAUCCAGCCAUGCCGCGUGUGUGAAGAAGGCCCUCGGGUUGUAAAGCACUUUCAGUGAGGAAGAACGCCUGGUGGUUAAUACCCAUCAGGAAAGACAUCACUCACAGAAGAAGCACCGGCUAACUCCGUGCCAGCAGCCGCGGUAAUACGGAGGGUGCGAGCGUUAAUCGGAAUUACUGGGCGUAAAGCGCGCGUAGGUGGCUUGAUAAGCCGGUUGUGAAAGCCCCGGGCUCAACCUGGGAACGGCAUCCGGAACUGUCAAGCUAGAGUGCAGGAGAGGAAGGUAGAAUUCCCGGUGUAGCGGUGAAAUGCGUAGAGAUCGGGAGGAAUACCAGUGGCGAAGGCGGCCUUCUGGACCGACACUGACACUGAGGUGCGAAAGCGUGGGUAGCAAACAGGAUUAGAUACCCCAGUAGUC
rnacentral:rRNA from 1 species